GAAAUGCGAUAAGUAGUGUGAAUUGCAGAAUUCAGUGAAUCAUCGAAUCUUUGAACGCACAUUGCGCCCUUUGGUAUUCCUUAGGGCAUGCCUGUUCGAGCGUCAUUUAAACCUUCAAGCUCAGCUUGGUGAUGGGUGACUGUCCCCCCCCCUCGCGGGGGGGACUCGCCUCAAAAACAUUGGCGGCCGGUACAUUGGCUUCGAGCGCAGCAGAAACGCGGUCUCGAGCCCGGUGGAUCGGCUCCCAUAAGCCUAUUCUUUUAUUUUGACCUCGGAUCAGGUAGGGAUACCCGCUGAACUUAAGC
rnacentral:misc_RNA from 1 species